UGGGGCUGUAGCUCAUUGGUGGAGCACCCACCUCACACGUGUGAGGCACUGGGUUCAAUCCUCAGCACCAUAA
rnacentral:tRNA from 1 species